UCACAUCAUGUGUUGUAGUAACACUGUCGAAAACGUACAGUGGGCAUAUAUGGCACUGUUUAGAAUGUGAUACUUGCAUAAUUUUUGCAAACGUUUUGUUGUCAUCAGAACUUCGUUUUUAUUAUCACUGUAUUUUACCAUUACGCUCGCCUGGGGUGUAUUCAUCACGGAAAUCGUUUACCGUUUAAGAACCAAAUGGAUGCAAACAGAGCAAAUGGAACGAAACGGGGAGGGAUUUACCAGAAUUUGUCCAAUAGAAACUCUCGUUUGCGUUUUCCGUGUGGGGUUAACGAUUUCUGUUGCAAAACGUUUUGUAGCAACAGAAUCGGCUUAAUGAUUACGCCCCUGAUGCAUGUGGGGUUGUUGUAAUGUUUGCGCCAGGAGUUGCCUAAACAUUUUUAGAAAACGAGACAGUAAAACUGAUAGAAGUGUCUCUUUUGGUAAAGUUUACAACCUCGGGAGUUUGGACAGCAUGGUGCGAACCAGUCCUCUGGUGAGAUGUUCCCUCCUUUGCCAGUGAUGCAAGAGAGGUUAUAGCUUUAAACAAAGCAAAAUGCACAUUAGUGAUACAAACCCCCAAAAGGCAGGCUUAUGGCAACAGUUGUGGCAAACCUUUGGCCAAUUUGUCACAUUUGCUGCAUACUCAUAUUUUCACAUUUUAAAUUAGCUUUGUGGCAAUCUGUUGUAACUUGCGAACUACUGGCAAACCAUUCUGGGAAACUUGUGGAGAACAUUUUGCAAAUUUGCAGCAAACUCCGUAUGAAUAUGCAAAUUAGAUCCGGUUUUGGUUACUGUGUGUUAACAACAUUGAAAUGUUUUAUCUACAUUAACCAAAUCACAUAACUUAGUUCUCAAGAGAAAAAAAACGUAAAUAUAAAAUGUGGUAAAUAUACUGAACAUUUGUACAAUAAUCAGCAGCAUGGUAAUGAAGAAAAGAGCAAAGACUGGAUAUUUCUCAAAUAAAUUAUUUAGUUAAUGUUUUUAUGUAGCUUACAUGAGAGAAAUGGGAAAACUUUGGGGGUGUUGACCUUAGGAUGUUUAAAGGUGCAACUACAUAAAUAUUUACAUGAGCCAAGUGAUAACUGAGCAAUAGAUUUCAACCAUUGGAAGUUUAAAAGAUAAUGAACAGUGUUAUGAAUUAAAAACAAAAACAAACCCAGUUCAGAACUAUUGCCUUUUUAGUGAACUUUGGAGAUGGCAGCCCUGUGGAAGCCCUUUGUCCAACGCUUGUUGAAUGCAUGCACUGAAACAAUCAGAAAACAUAAAACAAACUAAAUCAGGACACUGAAAGCAAUUAAUUUUGCUGAAACAUUUUUUUUCCCUACCAUCCCAGCCCCUCCCUUUCCUACACACAAUCAGGGUACAGUGUUGAAUUAAUUUGUUUUGCCUGCAUUUCAGAAAAUACUCACAUCAGACAAUUGUCCACAAUGUACAAUAAUAUAUAUAUAUAUUUUAAAUAGCACAUUGAAACAAAGCCCUAUUGUCUAAGUAUGUGUUAUUUCAUAAGAUAACAAUCAAUCAUAUCUUAUGAAAUCUUAAAACGUAUGUAUAUUAUUUCAUUAACAAAACAGUCCAAACAGCUGAACUUGAUGUGCACACUCAGAUUGCAAUCUGAUAAAAACAAAGCAUUUGUGUGUGUUACACUGUCCUAAGUGGUAUCAACACAGAUCUGUCUAUCAGAAUGUGCCAGAGCAAAUCCAUAGAUAUUCACAUUCACUGACACACUUCAGCUACAGUAUCUUAGGUGACAGCACACAUAAUGAUCUAUAUUUGGGUAGAGUCAAAACAUUUUUACACAGUUAACAAGUGUAAAAUAUUACGUUUGAAGGUCACUCUACUAAGGACUUUGACUAAUGACUGUCAUUACUUAUAAAGCACUGUUCACAUUUUCCAAAAUGUAGCAUUUCUAUUUAAAAUAAAUAUUUGUGAUAGGAUCAAAGGGUAGAGGAAUGUGCUUCAGCCCAGCUUGAACAAAAAAUGUCAUUAUAUAUGUUAAUCAUACACAUGUUUAAAGAUAUUAAAACAAAGGGCAUGCCUAGUCAGUUGCACAACUGAAUGCAUUCCGCAUUUAACCCAACCACUCUGAAUCAGAGAGACACUCGUGGCUCAUCCAUUCAUUGAGUUAGUCACACUACGAAAUGCUACCAAAUAAACCACAAUUCAUUCAUAAUACUGUGAAUAUAUAGUUUCACAGACAUAUUGUUAUUUUUUUCUGGUUUGUCGGAAAUCGUUAGAAAUCAUAUAAAACCAGUCUGCACACCAAGGUGAACUGGUUUAGUUUUGACUCUUGGUUGACAGUGUUGGGGGAUGGGUAAUGUAGUGAUGCUCGAGUGCCAAAUCAACACAAAUGGAUAAGAAGAGGUCUAAGCCAUCAGGUGCCCAGUUUAGGAAAAAGAGGAAAGAAGAGGAGAAAGGCUCAACAGAUUAAAAGGUAUGCAGCUAUGUCAUCUCUUUAUGAGUAUAAUAUUAUGCAUGUAAAGAAGUAGGCUAGUACAAUACUUAUGUUUGUUAGUCUAUAUUACUUGCUAUGCUAUUACACAUAGGGCGACAACAUUCCAUUUUCUGUCCAACUAGCUUACAUAACAUUGGAUGUAAUUUCACACAGUUUCAUCAUGAUAAUGUGUGUAACCUGCAGCAAAACGAUUGCAACCUAUCUAGCACACCAUUGAUUUGGUUCACUUUCAUUGAGGUGACAUCAUAAAGGUGAAUAUGCACAUUGUAUUGUGUUGACUAGGUCCUGAGCUCAGUAAGGGGAAUUUCCAAUGCUGUAGGCCAUCUUAAGACGUAUAUAUUAUGCCGAUAUCUUGUAUCUUUUGUGAUAUAUUGCGUCUUUUGGGGUGUCUUAUGCCUAGAAUUGGCCAAGGAUGUUGUAUGGUUCAUUUGGUUCCUAUUCUGAAAGUCUGAUAAAUUGUGCAUAAUGACAUGUAUAUUUAAUUGUGCAACAAAUGGAUUUAGGGUGUCACUAAUAUACUGUAUUCCAAUGCAAAUUCAGGGGCACUUCUGAAAUAUUUUGGAGCACCCUCUGGCACUGGCCACGAUGAGAAGCCAUCUACCUCCUCAGCCACACAGGCCUCUUCAGAAAUGAUCUCGGAGCCUCAGGAUGAGGAACCAUCCACCUCCUCAGCCACACAGGUGUCUUCACAAAUGUUGUCUGAGCCUGAGGAUGAGGAUGAAGACCCAUUCACUUCCACUUCUCCCCAGCAGGAUUCUUCAGAAAUGCCUGUAGCAGCAUCCCCACCAAAUUAUGCUGCUGAGGAUGAUUCACUGUCUACAGACCCUGCUGACAGGCCUUCAGUUCUGACUGACAGAAUUCGGACAUUACUAGUUUGCAGAGGACCAAGUGAGGUACCACCUAAAACUUCCCAUAAUUAAAAUUACUCAAACAUACAAAUAUUUUACACCAUUUUAAAGAUAAACUUGUUGUAAAUCCAGCCACAGUGUCCGAUUUCAAAAAGGCUUUACGACGAAAGCACACCAAACUAUUAUGUUAGGUCAGGACCUAGUCACAGAAAAACACCGCCAUUUAUCUAGCCAAAGAGAGCAGUCAAAAAAACAGAAAUAAAGAUCAAGUUAAUAACUAACCUUUGAUGAUCUUCAUCAGAUGACACUCAUAGGACUUUGUUACACACUACAUGUAUGUUUUGUUCGAUAAAGUUCAUAUUUAUAUCCAAAAAUCUCAGUUUACAUUGGCUUUAAUUUAACAAUUGAGUAUUGAAUAUUUUAAGAUGUUAUUUAAACAUUGAAAAGUUCCUUGUUUUUAAGUGUUAUUUAAGCAAUAAAUGGAAAGCAAAGUUAUUUGUCUCCCUCUUUUUCUGAUCUGGAAAAAUGAUCCGAUCCGUGACUCAAAACCGUGAUCCGAUCCGAACUAUGAGUUUUGUGACCGUUGUACCACUACUUGCCAUCGAAGACCAUAACCCUGCUUGAGCUGCUGAUAUUUAUACACGAAAGGGAGCUCUUAGAAAUGUAUCCACAUUUGUGGAUUGCUCUCAGAAUUUGUCUUACUCUUCCAGUGACCGUAGCUGAAGCAGAGAGGAGCUUUUCAAAGCUCAUCAAAUUCUACCUGAGGUCCACCAUGUCACAGGAAUGCCUUAGUGGCCUUGCUGUCAUUAGUAUUAACCAUGCAAUCGCUGGGCAGAUUUCUUAUGAUGAUGUAAUUGAUGACUUUGCAUCAAGGAAGGCAAGAAAGGUCAGGGUUUAGAUGGCAGUUGUGCAAUUUAGUUUGUGUUUCUUGUUUGAAGUGCAAUACACAGGUUCUCUUCUUUAUAAGUGUGUUAUUCUAGUUGUGUAUUUGUGUGAUAUAGGAUUCGUGCAAUUUAGUUUUAUUUGUGUUUUUUGUUAGCAAUAGGGAAAUAGUGUAAUAAUUUGAUUCUAACUUUUAUUUUUAUUUAUAUACUACAUUUUGUAUCUAUUCGUCUUUGUUAUGAUGAUUUAUUUGUGUUCCAAAUGUCUGAAUAAAAAUUACAGUUAGUGCA